rnacentral:rRNA from 1 species
GACGAACGCUGGCGGCGUGCUUAACACAUGCAAGUCGAACGGAAAGGCCCUGCUUUUGUGGGGUGCUCGAGUGGCGAACGGGUGAGUAACACGUGAGUAACCUGCCCUUGACUUUGGGAUAACUUCAGGAAACUGGGGCUAAUACCGGAUAGGAGCUCCUGCUGCAUGGUGGGGGUUGGAAAGUUUCGGCGGUUGGGGAUGGACUCGCGGCUUAUCAGCUUGUUGGUGGGGUAGUGGCUUACCAAGGCUUUGACGGGUAGCCGGCCUGAGAGGGUGACCGGACACAUUGGGACUGAGAUACGGCACAGACUCCUACGGGAGGCAGCAGUGGGGAAUAUUGCACAAUGGGCGGAAGCCUGAUGCAGCAACGCCGCGUGCGGGAUGACGGCCUUCGGGUUGUAAACCGCUUUCGCCUGUGACGAAGCGUGAGUGACGGUAAUGGGUAAAGAAGCACCGGCUAACUACGUG